rnacentral:rRNA from 1 species
CACGUAGGGGGCAAGCGUUGUCCGGAUUUAUUGGGCGUAAAGAGCUCGUAGGCGGUUCGGCAAGUCGGGUGUGAAACCCCCAGGCUCAACCUGGGGACGCCACCCGAUACUGCUGUGACUUGAGUCCGGUAGGGGAGCGUGGAAUUCCUGGUGUAGCGGUGAAAUGCGCAGAUAUCAGGAGGAACACCAGCGGCGGAGGCGGCGCUCUGGGCCGGAACUGACGCUGAGGAGCGAAAGCGUGGGUAGCAAACAGG